rnacentral:rRNA from 1 species
UACAUGGGGUGCAAACGUUGCUCGGAAUUAUUGGGCGUAAAGCGCACGUAGGCGGUUCGUUAAGUCGGAUGUGAAAGCCCACGGCUCAACCGUGGAAGUGCCUUUGAUACUGGUCGUCUCGAGGGAGGUAGGGGCGUGCGGAACUUCCGGUGGAGCGGUGAAAUGCGUAGAUAUCGGAAGGAACACCGGUGGCGAAAGCGGCGCGCUGGACCUCUUCUGACGCUGAGGCGCGAAAGCCAGGGGAGCAAACGGG